rnacentral:rRNA from 1 species
UAAUACAUGCAAGUCGAGCGGAAACACUUCGGGUGUCGAGCGGCGGACGGGUGAGUAACGCGUGGGAACAUACCCCAGACUGAGGGAUAAGCACCAGAAAUGGUGUCUAAUACCGCAUAACCUCUACGGAGAAAAGCUUCGGCGGUUUGGGAAUGGCCUGCGUAAGAUUAGCUAGUUGGUAGGGUAAAGGCCUACCAAGGCGAUGAUCUUUAGCUGGUUUGAGAGGAUGAUCAGCCACACUGGAACUGAGACACGGUCCAGACUUCUACGGAAGGCAGCAGUAGGGAAUAUUCCACAAUGGGCGAAAGCCUGAUGGAGCAACGCCGCGUGCAGGAUGAAUGCCUUCGGGUUGUAAACUGCUUUUAUAGGUGAAGAUUUUGACGGUAACCUAAGAAUAAGGAUCGGCUAACUCCGUGCCAGCAGCCGCGGUCAUA